rnacentral:lncRNA from 1 species
AAAAAAUACCAACUCCUCAGGAACAGAUGCUAAAUAUAUUGUCUACUUUGUCGGACUUAAAAUGCAAAUAUUUUUGAUUUUUGCUUAUAAAAUAUUUUGAUUUUAUUGAAAUUUGGUUCAUAAACACGUAAACAAACAAUAAUUGCUAUUAUGAUAGGUUAUUUGUAAAAACGGCAGUCGUUUAUUUAUUGUUUCAUUGACACAAAAAACAGAGGAGC